rnacentral:rRNA from 1 species
CCUACGGGUGGCUGCAGUCGAGAAUCAUUCACAAUGGGGGAAACCCUGAUGGUGCGACGCCGCGUGGGGGCAUGAAGGUCUUCGGAUUGUAAACCCCUGUCAUGUGGGAGCAAAUUAAAAAGAUAGUACCACAAGAGGAAGAGACGGCUAACUCUGUGCCAGCAGCCGCGGUAAUACAGAGGGCUCAAGCGUUGUUCGGACUCACUGGGCGUAAAGCGUGCGUAGGCUGUUUAGUAAGUCGUGGGUGAAAGGCGCGGGCUCAACCCGCGGCCGGCUCCUGAUACUGCGAGACUAGAGUAAGAGAGAGGGAACCGGAAUUCUCGGUGUAGCAGUGAAAUGCGUAGAUAUCGAGAGGAACACUCGUGGCGAAGGCAGGUUCCUGGACAUUAACUGACGCUGAGGCACGAAGGCCAGGGGAGCGAAAGGGAUUAGAUACCCCUGUAGUC